AUGGGGCACGCUUCUCAGCUUCUAGAGCACCUACCCCAACAAUGGCAGCUUCUUCUAUUCGUUCUCCCACUUAUCUCCCUCCUCUUCCUACACCGGAGAUGGAAAAGAACCGGUGGCAUUAGGCUGCCACCAGGGCCAUGGAAGCUGCCCGUCAUCGGCAACCUCCAUCAGAUCGGCCCGUUGCCCCACCGGAGCCUGUCGACGCUCGCAAGGCAGCACGGGCCAGUCAUGAUGCUGCGCCUGGGCACGGUUCCGACGGUGGUGCUGUCCUCGCCGGAGGCCGCGCGGGAGGCUCUAAAGAUGCACGAUGCGGACUGCUGCAGCCGGCCUUCCUCGGCCGGGCCGCGUCUGCUGUCAUACGGCUACAAGGACGUCGUCUUCUCCCCCUACAGCGACUACGUCCGCGACAUGCGCAAGCUUUUCAUCAUCGAGCUGCUCAGCCGCCGCCGCGUGCAGGCCGCUUGCUACGCUCGCGAUACCCAGAUGGGAAAUCUUGUGAAGAACCUCACCAAUACCGGUCGAAAGCCGGUGGCGGUUGCCGACCACAUAUUUGCCACGCUGGACGGGAUCAUCGGCUCUUUCGCCUUUGGCGAAAACUACGCGGCGAAGCAGUUCAAGGGGCAGUUUGUCCCCGUGCUGAACGAGACCAUGGACAUGCUGAGCGGCUUCUCUGCCGAGGACUUCUUCCCCAACAGCGUUGGUCGCCUCGUCGACAAAGUUACGGGCAUUAAGUCCCGCCGAGAGAGGAUCUUCAAGAAGAUUGAUGCCUUCUUUGAACAAGUCAUCGACCAGUGCAUCGACGACGAUCCCAGUCGCAGAAGGCAGCCCGGUGACGAGUGCGCAUCUGUACUCGUGCAAGAGCUCGUUGACCUUUGGAAAAAUCCUGCAGGAGCCACCAACAGCUUCACAAGGGAACAUGCCAAGGCCAUCCUCAUGAACACUUUCGUCGGUGGCAAUCACACUAGCUCAGUGACAAUAAACUGGGCAAUGGCGGAGCUAAUUCGACAGCCAAGGAUACUCGGUAAGGUACAAGACGAAAUCAGGGCCAUCGGAGGCAAGACAGAGCUCCUGCAGCACGACGACAUGCCCAAGCUCAAAUACCUGAAGAUGGUGGUGAAGGAGACGCUGCGGCUGCAUCCCCCGGCGACGUUGCUCGUCCCGAGGGAGACCACAGGGCGGAUUCAGGUCGCAGGAUACGACAUCCCAGCCAAGACAAAGAUCAUCGUGAACGCAUGGGCUAUCGGUAGGGACCCCAGCGCUUGGAAUGAUGAUCCGGAGGAAUUUCGCCCGGAAAGGUUUCAGGACAAGGAUGUUGACUUCAAUGGGGCGCAUUUCGAGCUUUUGCCGUUUGGGUCGGGACGACGGAUCUGCCCGGGAUUGGCCAUGGGCGUGGCCAACGUCGAGUUCAUCUUGGCCAAUAUGCUCUACUGCUUCAACUGGGAGCUCCCUGAUGGGGUGAGCUGUGAGGAUGUCAACAUGGAGGAGGCAGGGGCGCUGACUUUCCGCAAGAAGACGCCACUCAUGCUGGUACCGACAAGGUACAAUAUGUGUCCUUGA
rnacentral:rRNA from 1 species